rnacentral:rRNA from 1 species
CUCAGAUUGAACGCUGGCGGCAUGCCUUACACAUGCAAGUCGAACGGCAGCACGGACUUCGGUCUGGUGGCGAGUGGCGAACGGGUGAGUAAUGCAUCGGAACGUGCCAUUGAGUGGGGGAUAACGUAGCGAAAGUUGCGCUAAUACCGCAUAUUCUGUGAGCAGGAAAGCAGGGGACCGCAAGGCCUUGCGCUCUUUGAGCGGCCGAUGUCAGAUUAGCUAGUUGGUGAGGUAAAGGCUUACCAAGGCGACGAUCUGUAGCGGGUCUGAGAGGAUGAUCCGCCACACUGGAACUGAGACACGGUCCAGACUCCUACGGGAGGCAGCAGUGGGGAAUUUUGGACAAUGGGCGGAAGCCUGAUCCAGCCAUGCCGCGUGAGUGAAGAAGGCCUUCGGGUUGUAAAGCUCUUUCGGCCGGGAAGAAAUCGCAUGGGUUAAUACCCUGUGUGGAUGACGGUACCGGAAUAAGAAGCACCGGCUAACUACGUG